UUCCUGGUGGUCCAGUGGUUAGGACUCAGGGCUUUUACUGCUGGAGCCUGGGUUCAAUCCCUGGGCAGGGAA
rnacentral:tRNA from 1 species